GACGAACGCUGGCGGCGCGCCUAACACAUGCAAGUCGAACGAGCGAGCGAGAGCUUGCUUUCUCGAGCGAGUGGCGAACGGGUGAGUAACGCGUGAGGAACCUGCCUCAAAGAGGGGGACAACAGUUGGAAACGACUGCUAAUACCGCAUAAGCCCACGACCCGGCAUCGGGUAGAGGGAAAAGGAGCAAUCCGCUUUGAGAUGGCCUCGCGUCCGAUUAGCUAGUUGGUGGGGUAACGGCCCACCAAGGCGACGAUCGGUAGCCGGACUGAGAGGUUGAACGGCCACGUCGGGGCUGAGACACGGCCCAGACUCCUACGGGAGGCAGCAGUGGGGAAUAUAGCACAAGGGGGGAAGCCCUGAUGCAGCGACGCCGCGUGGAGGAAGAAGGUCUUCGGAUUGUAAACUCCUGUUGUUGAGGAAGAUAAUGACGGUACUCAACAAGGAAGUGACGGCUAACUACGUG
rnacentral:rRNA from 1 species